UACGAAGGGGGCUAGCGUUGCUCGGAAUCACUGGGUGUAAAGGGUGCGUAGGCGGGUCUUUAAGUCAGGGGUGAAAUCCUGGAGCUCAACUCCAGAACUGCCUUUGAUACUGAGGAUCUUGAGUUCGGGAGAGGUGAGUGGAACUGCGAGUGUAGAGGUGAAAUUCGUAGAUAUUCGCAAGAACACCAGUGGCGAAGGCGGCUCACUGGCCCGAUACUGACGCUGAGGCACGAAAAGCGUGGGGAGCAAACAGG
rnacentral:rRNA from 1 species